UGAAAAUAAGAGUCCUGAGCAAGUCAGAGAUUGCCAGACAGUUAUCACUUAAAAUAGCAAAGCCUCACUGUUCUAUUGCUAACCCAUGGCAGAGUGAGUCUAAGUGUAGGCACAGGAAGGUAUGAAGUGAGUUUGAUCAAAUGGGAUUUUGAAUGAUUAACAAGCGGAUCCUGGAUCAUAGUCAGUUGUGUCACAUGGUAAAGGGGAGCUCUGGAUGUAGAACGGCUCCCAGCUGCCAGCCUGAACUGCCUUCCAAACAGCCAAGCCUAAUUCAGCACAAUGGAUAAAGGUACUGUGGACCAUAAAGAAGAGCUGGAGAACUAGGAUUCCACUCUCAGGGAGCUUGCAAGUGGCCAAGCUGCUCAAGGGUCACCUCUUUGGAAACAAUUAGCCAAGGACGUGGAGCGAAACAAAAUAAACUUAAGCUUGACACACUGCUGGCCUGGGACAGUUGCCAUAAACUCAAAUACAAAGACACUGCACAGCCUGUGUUUAACAAAUUCAUUCUCUUCUCCCCCAAAGAAAAGAGCUAAAGAACAAGGUCAUAUUGAACGCCCUGGGGAGUCACUCAGGUGACAGCUGUGAGUGCUGCUGAGAGAUGGUGACAAAACGGGAAGUCAGGAAGUCAUCGUUGCACCAUUCAGAAAACCAUGACUCAAGUGUGAUGUAGAUCAAAGCCACUGGGUGUUAGGAAGUGAAGGGGCAUCUUGUUAAUGCAGCCAAUAGUCUAACCCAGUGGUUCUCAACCUUCCUAAUGCUUCGACCCUUUAGCACAGUUCCUCAUGUUGUGGUGACUGAAAUGUUCAGGCAUUAUGCUGGCCUGCCCCUGUUACCUGGCAGAACAGGCAGUACCCUGGCCAGCCCAGGGCUCCAUGGGAACUAAGUCUGCACGCAGGUGCAGAGCACCCCCUUAAAAGACAGACUCCUGCCCAUUUAUGCUCUCUCUAUACUCUUCUCUCUCUACUCUCUCCUUCUCUGCUCUUCUCUCUGCUCUCUCUAUUCUGUUUCUACUCUCUCUACUCUUCUCUAUCUGCUUCUGCUUCUGCUUCUCUUCUCUCUCUUUCUAUGGCGACUGGCCAUGGCGGUCAGCCAUUAACCCUUCUCUUCUCCUUUAGUCUCUCUACUCUGCCGGGCCUAUAAUAAACUGGUUAAUAUGUCUAAUAGUCUCAUGUCUCAUCUUGAACUCUUCUUCCUCCUCUUCUUCAUUUCUAAUUUAAGCAAAAGAAUAACAGUGACCCCUCAACCAUACAAUGAUUUUCAUUGCUACUUCAUAACUAUAACUUUGCUACUGUUAUGAAUUGUAAUGUAAAUACCUGAUAUGUGGCCACUGUAAAGGGGUCAUUCGAACCCCAAAGAGGUCUCCGCCCACAGGCUGAGAAUCCCUGGUCCAAGCUAUGCAUGUGAGAUACUUGGGAAGGAAAAGCCACAAGGUCUGGUGAGGUUCCUUCUGCUUUUUCAAGACUGUUCAGAUCACAAUUUCUCUUCAGAGGGGCAAAGAAUUUACAUCUUCAACAACUCACUACAAAUCCAAGCUAUUCAACAAGGCACCCACAUGACUUCCUUCCUCUAAAGAGAUCAAAGAUGAGCAGGCUCAGUUCUUUUUUUUUUUUUUUUAACUUUUUAAAUCAAACAAUUCUACAAGGAAACAAUAAAAUGGCUUCUCCAGGAUUGGGAUAUGAGGGCUUGCAGAGUGAGGAAGUGAGUGUUUUCCUUCUACUCUGUGGGUCCCCAGGAUAGGAUACUGCUGGAUAGCCUUGGCACCAAGGGCCUUUACCUGCUGGAGUAGUUCAAAACAAAACAAACAAACAAAACAAAAAACAAAAAAACAAAAAAAAAAACAAAUCUCUUUUUC
rnacentral:lncRNA from 1 species